GGGCGUAAAGCGCACGUAGGCGGACACUUAAGUCGAGUGUGAAAUCCCCGGGCUCAACCUGGGAACUGCAUUCGAUACUGAGUGUCUAGAGUAUGGUAGAGGAAAGUGGAAUUCCCGGUGUAGCAGUGAAAUGCGUAGAUAUCGGGAGGAACACCAGUGGCGAAGGCGGCUUUCUGGACCAAUACUGACGCUGAGGUGCGAAAGCGUGGGGAGCAAACAGGAUUAGAGACCCUGGUAGUCCACGCCGUAAACGAUGAGAACUAGGCGUUGGGAGGUUUUACCUUCUAGUGCCGAAGCUAACGCGUUAAGUUCUCCGCCUGGGGAGUACGGCCGCAAGGCUAAAACUCAAAGGAAUUGACGGGGGCUCGCACAAGCGGUGGAGCAUGUGGUUUAAUUCGAUGCAACGCGAAGAACCUUACCUACCCUUGACAUCCCAGGAAUCCUUCAGAGAUGAGGGAGUGCCUUCGGGAACCUGGUGACAGGUGCUGCAUGGCUGUCGCCAGCUCGUGUCGUGAGAUGUUGGGUUAAGUCCCGUAACGAGCGCAACCCUUGUCCUUAGUUGCCACCAGUUCGGCUGAGCACUCUAAGGAGACUGCCGGUGAUAAACCGGAGGAAGGUGGGGACGACGUCAAGUCAUCAUGGCCCUUAUGGGUAGGGCUACACACGUGCUACAAUGGGCAGUACAAAGAGUCGCAAAACCGCGAGGUGAAGCCAAUCUCAAAAAACUGUCCGUAGUUCGGAUUGGAGUCUGCAACUCGACUCCGUGAAGUCGGAAUCGCUAGUAAUCGCGAAUCAG
rnacentral:rRNA from 1 species